CAAUAGCGUAUAUUAAAGUUGUUUGCAGUUAAAAAGACUACGUAGUUGGAUUUCUGGGAGGGUGCCAAUGUCCGCCGACGUGCGUGCGCAGCGGCGCCCUCUCAUCCUUCUGUUAACGUCUCUCAGCAUUUAUUUGCCGGUGGCGGGCUCAGAUAUUUACCUUGAGAAAAUUAGAGUGUUUACAGGCAGGCUAGGCCGGAAUACAUUAGCAUGGAAUAAUGGAAUAGGACUUCGGUCUCUUUGUUGGUUUGAGGGACUGUCAGUAAUGAUUAAUAGGGAUAGUUGGGGGCAUUAGGUACUUAACUGUCAGAGGUGAAAUUCUCCGAAUUUGUUAAAGACUUAACUUAUGCGAAAGCAUUUGCCAAGGAUGUUUUCAUUAAUC
rnacentral:rRNA from 1 species